rnacentral:rRNA from 1 species
CGGGCAUGGGGCGAAGGCUACACAUGCAGUCGAGCGGAUGAAGGGAGCUUGCUCCUGGAUUCAGCGGCGGACGGGUGAGUAAUGCCUAGGAAUCUGCCUGGUAGUGGGGGAUAACGUCCGGAAACGGGCGCUAAUACCGCAUACGUCCUGAGGGAGAAAGUGGGGGAUCUUCGGACCUCACGCUAUCAGAUGAGCCUAGGUCGGAUUAGCUAGUUGGUGGGGUAAAGGCCUACCAAGGCGACCAUCCGUAACUGGUCUGAGAGGAUGAUCAGUCACACUGGAACUGAGACACGGUCCAGACUCCUACGGGAGGCCCAGCCAG